AGGGAGUGAAACCCUCAAAAGUUUCAAAAGAAAAUAAAGAUGUAAAUCACGAGCCACCGGAUCGGUGCUCUGAUACCAUGUAAAAAAUAAAAGAGAUGGAAUAAUCGUUAUGUUAUUGAUAUACUGUUGUACAUAAUACUAUCCUUUAUAUACUAGGUUUACAAUCUCCUAUUCUAGCAUAAUUCCUAAUUAAGGCUACAAUUUGGGUUUGACCCAUAAACAUUGGGUUCUAAUAUAGGAAACACAAUUACUAUUUACACCAUAAAUAACCGAGCAUAUCUAGCAUCAAAAUGACUAGCACCAAGGC
rnacentral:lncRNA from 1 species